rnacentral:other from 1 species
AUAGACGAGGCGGUGACUGUUUGACCCUUGAAGCACCGCCGCGUUAUACGAGUUUCUCUCAAAACUCGAACAACUAAAGCCAACGUGAACUUUUGCGGACCCUGUGUCCGCU